GCAAACUUGGUCAUUUAGAGGAAGUAAAAGUCGUAACAAGGUUUCCGUAGGUGAACCUGCGGAAGGAUCAUUAACAGUGAGCCCUGGUUCUCACCAGGGACUACACCUCUUACCACCAUAAAAAGCUUGCUUUUUGUGGAUGUGUAAUGCGUCCACCCAUUGUGAAACUUAACCUAUGCUUCGGCAGCACUCUUAGCCUUAAAACCGCUAGAGAGGUAAGGCUGUCAGAAGCCCACUAUCAAACUAGUUGAUGAAAUGUCAUGCAGUCUGAUAACUACUAUUUGAGAAAUCAAAUUACGUUAAAACUUUCAGCAACGGAUCUCUUGGUUCUCGCAUCGAUGAAGAACGCAGC
rnacentral:misc_RNA from 1 species